rnacentral:rRNA from 1 species
UAGGGAAUCUUCGGCAAUGGACGGAAGUCUGACCGAGCAACGCCGCGUGAGUGAAGAAGGUUUUCGGAUCGUAAAGCUCUGUUGUAAGAGAAGAACGAGUGUGAGAGUGGAAAGUUCACACUGUGACGGUAUCUUACCAGAAAGGGACGGCUAACUACGUGCCAGCAGCCGCGGUAAUACGUAGGUCCCGAGCGUUAUCCGGAUUUAUUGGGCGUAAAGCGAGCGCAGGCGGUUAGAUAAGUCUGGAGUUAAAGGCUGUGGCUUAACCAUAGUACGCUUUGGAAACUGUUUAACUUGAGUGCAAGAGGGGAGAGUGGAAUUCCAUGUGUAGCGGUGAAAUGCGUAGAUAUAUGGAGGAACACCGGUGGCGAAAGCGGCUCUCUGGCUUGUAACUGACGCUGAGGCUCGAAAGCGUGGGGAGCAAACAGGAUUAGAUACCCUGGUAGUCCACGCCGUAAACGAUGAGUGCUAGGUGUUAGACCCUUUCCGGGGUUUAGUGCCGUAGCUAACGCAUUAAGCACUCCGCCUGGGGAGUACGACCGCAAGGUU